rnacentral:misc_RNA from 1 species
AAGUCGUAACAAGGUUUCCGUAGGUGAACCUGCGGAAGGAUCAUUACCUAGAGUUUGUGGGCUUUGCCCGCUACCUCUUACCCAUGUCUUUUAAGUACUUACGUUUCCUCGGCGGGUUCGCCCGCCGACUGGACAAAAUUAAACCCUUUGCAGUUGCAAUCAGCGUCUGAAAAACAUAAUAGUUACAACUUUCAACAACAGAUCUCUUGGUUCUG